rnacentral:rRNA from 1 species
ACGUAAGGAAUCUACCUAGUAAGCGGGGAUAACAUUCGGAAACGGUGCUAAUACCGCAUAAUAUCUUCUUCCGCAUGGAAGAAGAUUUGAAAGACGGCUCUGCUGUCACUUAUAGAUGACCUUGCGGUGCAUUAGUUAGUUGGUGGGGUAAUGGCCUACCAAGACGAUGAUGCAUAGCCGACCUGAGAGGGUGAUCGGCCACAUUGGGACUGAGACACGGCCCAAACUCCUACGGGAGGCAGCAGUAGGGAAUCUUCCGCAAUGGGCGAAAGCCUGACGGAGCAAUGCCGCGUGAGUGAAGAAGGCCUUCGGGUCGUAAAACUCUGUUAUAAGAGAAGAACAAAUUGUAGAGUAACUGCUACAGUCUUGACGGUAUCUUAUCAGAAAGCCACGGCUAACUACGUG